rfam:Salmo salar isolate Sally breed double haploid chromosome ssa11, whole genome shotgun sequence.
UUGCAUGGCUCAGUUGGUAGAGCAUGGCGCUUGCAACGCCAGGAUUGUGGGUUCAAUCCUGAUGUAA